UUGAAUGGCAUAAUUAUCCCACAUCUCCCUCUUGCAGAAUAGUUUCACUUUUCUCAGCGGCCUGCAAUCUUCUAGGCUUCAUCCCAUCUGUUACCUACCUAGACUGUACAGACCCUAUAUUAUCUCUACUCCUACAAAAACUUUCUUCUUAAAAGUGAACAGCAAGGAAAGAGCUGAUAUGAUCAGUUACUGAAUGAGAAGUAGCUUAGCUCCACAACCACUUUCUGAAUGUGGAAACACCUGAAUGAUGGGCUGAAUACUGCCAUCCACUGGCUGGCUGCAUGGAAAAUCUGUUCAACUUGCAUUUCAUUAAGGCAAUAUUAAAAAGUACCUUAAAAAAUAACAGGCAAACUCACCCCAACCACCAUCUCUUCCAUGGUUUAGAUUGUGCCGCAGAAGGCCAACAUUAUCUGCUGAUUCAUUUUAUCAGCCAGAACAUGUACACAAAAACUCAGCCAAAAAUGAGAAAUGGAAAUGGGAAGACUGAGUGGAAAAAAACUGUGCUCAGGAAGAAUCUUGAGGUUUGUCUUGUGCAGAUGAGCAAGAAACACAAACCC